GAUUUCUGAAUAUGUGUUUCUAGCCGGCCACGGUUUCGUGUGUUAGUGCAAGAAAUACUGUUCAUCCUUUUACUCUAUUCCAAAUGAUCUUAACUGAUUCUUUGAAAUAGGUAAAUCGUUUACUUUGAAAAAAUUAGAGUGUUUCAAGCAGGCUAUAUGCUAUGAAUACAUUAGCAUGGAAUAAUAAUUUAGGACUUCGGUUCUAUUUUGUUGGUUUCUAGUACUGAAGUAAUGAUUGAUAGGGUCAGUUGGGGGUGCUAGUAUUCAGUGGCCAGAGGUGAAAUUCUCGGAUUCACUGAAGACUAACUUAUGCGAAAGCAUU
rnacentral:rRNA from 1 species